GUACACUCCUGCGGGAGGCAGCAGUAGGGAAUCUUCCACAAUGGGUGCAAACCUGAUGGAGCAAUGCCGCGUGAGUGAAGAAGGUCUUCGGAUCGUAAAGCUCUGUUGUUAGAGAAGAACACGUGCUAGGUAACUACUAGCGCCUUGACGGUAUCUAACCAGAAAGUCACGGCUAACUACGUGCCAGCAGCCGCGGUAAUACGUAGGUGACAAGCGUUGUCCGGAUUUAUUGGGCGUAAAGGGAGCGCAGGCGGUCUGUUUAGUCUAAUGUGAAAGCCCACGGCUUAACCGUGGAACGGCAUUGGAAACUGACAGACUUGAAUGUAGAAGAGGAAAAUGGAAUUCCAAGUGUAGCGGUGGAAUGCGUAGAUAUUUGGAGGAACACCAGUGGCGAAGGCGAUUUUCUGGUCUAACAUUGACGCUGAGGCUCGAAAGCGUGGGGAGCGAACAGGAUUAGAAACCCCGGUAGUCCC
rnacentral:rRNA from 1 species